AUUGAACGCUGGCGGCAGGCCUAACACAUGCAAGUCGAACGGUAACAGGAAGAAGCUUGCUUCUUUGCUGACGAGUGGCGGACGGGUGAGUAAUGUCUGGGAAACUGCCUGAUGGAGGGGGAUAACUACUGGAAACGGUAGCUAAUACCGCAUAACGUCGCAAGACCAAAGAGGGGGACCUUCGGGCCUCUUACCAUCGGAUGUGCCCAGAUGGGAUUAGCUAGUAGGUGGGGUAACGGCUCACCUAGGCGACGAUCCCUAGCUGGUCUGAGAGGAUGACCAGCCACACUGGAACUGAGACACGGUCCAGACUCCUACGGGAGGCAGCAGUGGGGAAUAUUGCACAAUGGGCGCAAGCCUGAUGCAGCCAUGCCGCGUGUAUGAAGAAGGCCUUCGGGUUGUAAAGUACUUUCAGCGGGGAGGAAGGGAGUAAAGUUAAUACCUUUGCUGAUUGACGUUACCCGCAGAAGAAGCACCGGCUAACUCCGUG
rnacentral:rRNA from 1 species